GUCGUUAGACUAAUUAAAGAUUAUCUACAGUUAAAUACCUUUUGGCCAGUUAAGAAGGUAUUACACACAAGUUAUUAUAGGUAUCUGGCGUGUGUGUGUGGCUCUUUUGAUUUUUAAUUGGACUCUUUCCUUUCCGCCAUGUCGCCCGGAAUUCCGUUCCGGCAUCCAUGUCCGCAUGACGUAUUAUCUUCUCUUUUGCCGUGUGGCCCAUUCCCCCCUCUUUUUAAUUUUUUUCUGUUCGUUAACUAUGGUCACAUUCACUUUGUUCUGUUUCUCUACGGUGGCUCUUCUUUUUCUUGUGUGUGUGACGCCAACAAAUCCUUUAAGCGUUAACCGUAUUGGUGCUCAGAGAGAAUAGAGAAGCUUUUGAACUUGUUUUAGAACUUGGCUUUCUAAUGUCAACUAACUGCUGUGUAAGUACGGAGUUGACGUGUGUGCAGGUCACAAGAGUUGGCCUUUCAUGGACGCCUUCAUUAGCUAAUGGCCGUAACGAUGAGCAGCGGGGGCCAACUGUCAUUCUGCCUCGGACAUCCGCCGGAAUCGGUGACAUCUAGCGACAUGAUAAAAUUGCCAUUAUUUGCCACUGACUUGUGUAAUUCGAAUAGAUUGAGGUCCGAUGGCGAAGCAAUCCAGCCGGACGGGCACAGCUUCCAGCAAAGAAAAAGUCAGUGGAAAAUUGGAUGAAGGUCCGGAAUCGUGCUCUACUUCCAUCAUCCCCUUUCCCCUUGCUAUUUAUAUCCGGUUGACUUGGUUUUUUUUCUUUUUUUCGUGUGAUUCAAUCGACGACACAAUUGUGCCUUUUAUUCAUAUUUUUCAGUUCGACGUCUGUCCCUUUACGUUUAUUGCUGUUUCGUCCUCGGCCGAAAUGAAAAAGUCAUCCAGCUGUCGGAGAGGAUGCGACACAAGUUCUCGCAAUGCGUACAAGAGGUAGGAAAGCGGAAGAGAAGAAGAAAAAACGAAUCAAUCCGCACGACCAGACGCGAAUUGUUUUUCGAUUUCUCAAAGGCAUUCCACCAGAAAAAAAAAAGGACAAUAACAUUCCGCUUUCCUUUUUUUUUCCAGAAAACAAAACAAGCUGUUGGACUACCGGACGUGACGACGAAUAACAUUUCAGAUGAAAACACACAAAAAAGGAGGUGGAUAGUUUGAUGCAUAACUAAUCUGACAAGUUUUAAUCGGCUUUUUAUUUGAGUGUAGGAGUUAAAAGUAAAAAACAAAGAUGAUGGGAUCAUUGGACGUCCUGUAGGUUCGAGUUGUAUCCUUUUCCAUUUGUUUUUGAUGUCUCUCGGGUGAUCAGAUAAAAAAACAAAAAGGAGAAGCAAAUAGCCUUUAAAAGGCCGUCCAUCUUACGUAACAGAUUGGGGGGAGUUGAUUAGCGUCAGAGCGCGUGCCUACCAAGAAAAAAGUAAACAAAAUAGAUGCAAAUAGGCAGCACAAGUCCAUUUCCCUAGUCACCUCUGACAAGGACAAGAUUUUUGUUUUUUCUUUAAACAAAGUUUUUGUUUAUGGAUUUAAAAUUUAAGAAAAAUCCUUCCCGACAUAGAAAAACAUUGGCCAAAUAAUCUCUCU